GUCUCAUUGGCACAGUAGGCAACGCGUCAGUCUCAUAAUCUGAAGGUUGUGAGUUCGAACUUCACAUGGGGUU
rnacentral:tRNA from 1 species